UCUCACACUUAACCACAAGCAAAAACCCGACUGCGAGAGUAAAGGAUGGAAGCAUUCAGGGGUCACCACCACUACCAUGACAAGAUGUGCCGCACAGCUGGACAUUGGAUUAACAGCUAAGAAGAGAAGUGGUCACCCUUCAAGUGGAUGCAAGCUGAGAAUGGAGUGCCUGUGCUUUUUAACCAAGCCAAAGUCCCAGGGGUCACCAGAAAGCACCUGACUUUCAUGGAUACUUGUUGGACAAACCUGAAAUUGCUGGGAUGAAUUCAAGAGGCCUCCAAAGCAGGAGAGAAAGGAGUUCCUGAAUCAGUUCCCACCAAGGGCUCCAGUAUGUGGGAAGGCAGUACUCUCCAUUCUUUAGGAGAGCCAUCAAG